rnacentral:rRNA from 1 species
GACGAACGCUGGCGGCGUGCUUAACACAUGCAAGUCGAACGAUGAAGCUAGAGCUUGCUCUGGUGAAUUAGUGGCGAACGGGUGAGUAACACGUGAGUAACCUGCCCCGAACUCUGGGAUAACUGCUGGAAACGGUAGCUAAUACUGGAUACGACCUACGAAGGCAUCUUCUGUAGGUGGAAAGAAUUUCGGUUCGGGAUGGACUUGCGGCCUAUCAGCUUGUUGGUGAGGUAAUGGCUCACCAAGGCGACGACGGGUAGCCGGCCUGAGAGGGUGACCGGCCCACCUGGGACUGAGGCACGGCCCAGGCUCCUACGGGAGGCAGCAGUGGGGAAUAUUGCACAAUGGGCGCAAGCCUGAUGCAGCAACGCCGCGUGAGGGAUGCCGGCCUUCGGGUUGUAAACCUCUUUUAGUAGGGAAGAAGCGAAAGUGACGGUACCUGCAGAAAAAGCACCGGCUAACUACGUGCCAGCCGCCGCCGUAA